GAUGAACGCUGGCGGCGUGCCUAAUACAUGCAAGUCGAGCGAAUGGAUUAAGAGCUUGCUCUUAUGAAGUUAGCGGCGGACGGGUGAGUAACACGUGGGUAACCUGCCCAUAAGACUGGGAUAACUCCGGGAAACCGGGGCUAAUACCGGAUAACGUUUUGAACCGCAUGGUUCGAAAUUGAAAGUCGGCUUCGGCUGUCACUUAUGGAUGGACCCGCGUCGCAUUAGCUAGUUGGUGUGGUAACGGCUCACCAAGGCAACGAUGCGUAGCCGACCUGAGAGGGUGAUCGGCCACACUGGGACUGAGACACGGCCCAGACUCCUACGGGAGGCAGCAGUAGGGAAUCUUCCGCAAUGGACGAAAGUCUGACGGAGCAACGCCGCGUGAGUGAUGAAGGCUUUCGGGUCGUAAAACUCUGUUGUUAGGGAAGAACAAGUGCUAGUUGAAUAAGCUGGCACCUUGACGGUACCUAACCAGAAAGCCACGGCUAACUACGUGCCAGCAGCCGCGGUAA
rnacentral:rRNA from 1 species